rnacentral:lncRNA from 1 species
UCCCAACUGGGGCUGUGUUCACCGGGGCCCACGGGAGGCGAGUGAGCCGUCCCACCAGCGCUGGCCCUCCAAGGCUCCAGUCUGUGUCUCCAUCAGGAGCCCCCUGGGCCCUCCAGGACACAGCCGUGCACAGCUUGUAGGAGCCUCCCAGGCCUGGCAAGUCAGGCCACCCCCGGCCUCUGGCUGCCCUGCCCCCUCCCUGAGCUCCGAGGGCCAGGCCAGUGACCCUGGGCGGGAUAGCAUUGGGCUGGGGGCCCCACCCUUGGUCCCACCAGCAGUCGUACCCCAGGGGUCCUGGUCCCAGGGGGGCCUCAAAGUAGCCCUUCUCCUUGGGAGCUUGACACCCCGUGAGGGAGGCCUCCUUCUCCUUGGGAGCUUGAGACCUUGUGAGGGAGGCCUCCUCAGCACGGGAAGGGACGGUCUUCUUGGGGGCAGCUGGAAGGUCAGAGUGGCCGGGGGAGGGGAGCUGCUCAGAGAAGGCAUCAGUGCAGAAGGGGAAGGAGGGCCUGGGGCAGCGAAGCUGGGAGUGUGGGGAGGAGCUUGGGGUAGGAGGGGCACCCCACAAAGUCACCCGGGCUGUGGGUCCUAAGAGGGCAGGGCAUCUCUCCACCAGGCUCUGGCCUUGAAUGUCCUCUCCACUGUGGCUAAAGGGCCCUGCAUAGCUGUCCAGGGACCACUCAGGUUCUGGGGGAAUCACAGUUCUUGGGCAGUGCCUUCACAGUCUGGGUUCCUUUGUGCUCCACACCACCUGCCCUGCUGACUUCUCCCCCGACUUUCCUCCUAACUUGUGGUCCAUCCCAUCUGCCACAGGCUGGGUGGUGCGUCAUCCGGGCCCAGCUGGACGGGGCUCCAGAGGACAAGUGCUGAGUGUCCAGAAGCUCUGUCCUCAGCACCCAAAACAGGGAAAUGGACCCACAGGGACCUAAUCCAUCCAUUUGAAUGACAGAGCUGGGAGGUUUGGGUUAGACUAGGGAGGUCUCAGGAAACACAGCCUGAGGGGCUGGGCUGGACGGGCAGCAUAGGGGCUGUCCUGGGCUCCCCCUCAGGCUGCCCCCUUCUCAGAGCCCCCCUCGGGCCUCGGGGAGCCAGCCUCUACUUACACCCAGCCAGAACACCCACCAGAACCUGCUUAGGCACGCGAGGGUUCUUUCUGCCCUCCCCACCCUGCGUCCUGUGGCCCCAGACGUGGGGUGCCCCCUCCCGUGGGGGUCCUUUCUGCCCCUCCCCACCUCAGGUGGCGGCCGCUCAGCAGCUGGGGUCUGGCCCAGUCCCCCGUCCCUGCCCCUCCCCAGCGAUUUUUAUCUUGGCUUUUGGUUUUCUGCUGAAUAAUAGAUGAAAGUCGUCUUCUCGGUGGAGGGGGUGUGGCUGGCGGCCCCUGGUCACUUCCAGUUCAUCUCCCACUGCCUCCUUGAUGAGGACCAAGGGUCAAUAAAUGUUUGCUGAAUUCCUUUGCCUCUGGGAUGUCUGGGCUGUGUGUGUCCGGGCUU